rnacentral:tRNA from 1 species
UCCCUGGUGGCUCAGUGGUAAAGAAUCUGCCUGCCAAUGCAGGAGACACGGGUUCAAGCCCUGAUCUGGGAA